CCCUUUUGAAAAGAAAAGCAUUGAGGAAUCUUUUUGGAAAAGAUAUGGACAAUGAUUGAGAAGUACACUGAUCUCCGCAAGCAGGUGGAGAGGGCAUAGGAGGUGUGGAGGCGUCACACUGGGGGGCGGGGCAAGCUUGCAGCAAAAUUCUGCAGCCAAGGACAGUGACAUGCGUGUGUAGGGGGGUGGGGACCAAUCAGUCUUGGGGGUUCUAGAGAUGGAACUGUUGUGACAGAGCCGAGACCCUCUUCAGCGUGGGGGUGGGGGGAGAGGGGCCGCACACAGAGCAUGGCGAGCAGCUACGGGAAGGGGGGAGAAGGGGCCUCUGGCCCAUGCAGUGCCGGAUGGCGCCCCAUGCAGGCCUCAAAACAAGGUGGGGAACGAGGAGGAGCUCCCACAUCAGUGGCUGGACUCAGACAAGAUAAUCUCAUUGUGACCUCACAUUCUCCAGUGACUCUGGCAGCCUGGGAGGUGGAUGCUGGUCUCCCCAUCUUGCAAAUCGCAAAAUCAAGAAAGAGUAGGAAGCCACUGGCCCUGGGUAUGUAGUCCCCCUGAGACAGAACUGGUGCUGGUGCAGGCCCCAGGAUGGAGAUGUCGACAACUCCAGCAUCAAGACCAGCUCCCAAAACCCACCACUGGCUGUGUCCACCCAUUCCUGCUGGCUCUUGUUGGAAAAUGGGCCUGGUACACACAGAUGCCCCUCUAUGCCAGGGUCCUUCUCCAUCUUCCCUCCCCAGCAGGUGUCUCUGCCAUCCAGGCCCCCACCAGCUCGCCCUCCACUGGAGCUUGGGAAGGAUUCUUUUUUUUAAUCAAGAAAUGGCCCACGGAGGAAGAUGGCAGAUAUGUGUUUACAGCUUUUCAUUUCCCUCUUUGCCUCUUUGUAAAUACCCUCUUCCAAGCUGGAAAAUAAAUUUCCAACCCUGUU